rnacentral:rRNA from 1 species
UACAGCGGGGGCAAGCGUUAUUCGGAAUUAUUGGGCGUAAAGGGCGCGUAGGCGGCUUGGCAAGUGGAUGGUGAAAUCCCUCGGCUUAACCGAGGAACGGCCGUCCAAACUGCUUCGCUUGAGACCGGGAGAGGUGAGUGGAAUUCCCAGUGUAGCGGUGAAAUGCGUAGAUAUUGGGAGGAACACCAGUGGCGAAGGCGGCUCACUGGACCGGUACUGACGCUGAAGCGCGAAAGCGUGGGGAGCAAACGGG